rnacentral:rRNA from 1 species
CGGGGUGAGUAAUGUAUGGGGAUCUGCCUGAUGGCGGGGGAUAACUACUGGAAACGGUAGCUAAUACCGCAUAACGUCGCAAGACCAAAGAGGGGGACCUUAGGGCCUCUUGCCAUCGGAUGUGCCCAGAUGGGAUUAGCUAGUAGGUGGGGUAACGGCUCACCUAGGCGACGAUCCCUAGCUGGCCUGAGAGGAUGACCAGCCACACUGGAACUGAGACACGGUCCAG